rnacentral:rRNA from 1 species
AUACGGAGGGUCCAAGCGUUAUCCGGAAUCAUUGGGUUUAAAGGGUCCGUAGGCGGGCUAUUAAGUCAGAGGUGAAAUCCCACAGCUCAACUGUGGAACUGCCUUUGAUACUGGUAGUCUUGAGUUAUAUGGAAGUAGAUAGAAUGUGUAGUGUAGCGGUGAAAUGCAUAGAUAUUACACAGAAUACCGAUUGCGAAGGCAGUCUACUACGUAUAUACUGACGCUAAGGGACGAAAGCGUGGGGAGCGAACAGGAUUAGAAACCCUAGUAGUCC